GCAAACAUCAACAAAUAUUUACAGUUUAC
rnacentral:piRNA from 1 species